GAAGUAUCUCAUCCAGUCGCUGUCUUAUAUCGACAGAGGAAAGUCCGGGCUCCAAAGGGCAGGGUGCAGGGUUAAAUCCCUGUGGGUGCAAACUCAAGGAAAGUGCCACAGAGAACAUACCGCCGAGUAGAAUACGGCAAGGGUGAAAAGGCGAGGUAAGAGCUCACCGGACGCGCGGUGACGCGCGUGCCUGGCAAACCCCACCCGGAGCAAGAUCGAAUAGGGGAGGUCGAGGCUGCCCGCUGACUCCCGGGUACGAUCGCUGAUGGGCCGCCGCAAGGUGGUUCUUAGAUAAAUGACUGGACACGACAGAACCCGGCUUACGAGAUGCUCCCGUU
rnacentral:RNase_P_RNA from 1 species